UACGUAGGCAGCAAGCGUUGUUCGGAAUUACUGGGCGUAAAGAGUGUGUAGGCGGUGUUCUAAGUGUGGUGUGAAAUCUCCCGGCUCAACUGGGAGGGUGCGCCGCAGACUGGAAUGCUAGAGUAUGGGAGAGGUAAGCGGAAUUCCUGGUGUAGCGGUGAAAUGCGUAGAUAUCAGGAGGAACACCUGUGGUGUAGACAGCUUACUGGACCAUGACUGACGCUGAGGAGCGAAAGCGUGGGGAGCAAACAGG
rnacentral:rRNA from 1 species